CAAUUCUUCUGCCUCAGCCACCCGAAUAGUAGCUGAGACUACAGGUGCAUGCCAUCAUGCCUCGCUAAUUUUCGUAUUUUUAGUAGAGACGGAGUUUCACCAUGUUGGCCGGGCUACUCUCAAACAUCUGACCUCAAGUGAUCCACCCACCUCGGCCUCCAAAAGUGAUGGGAUUACAGGUGUGAGCCACUGCACCCGGCCUGGAACUCUUCCGUGAGUGUCACUAACAUUUCCCAUGUUGUGGUCUGAGGUCACACCCUCUGGUGCUGUCCUCCAUGGGGAUGUGCAACACUUCUCAUACCCUCUGUUUCCUCUCUUUUGUUAUAGAUGAAGGGGAAGAAAAAGAUAAAACCAAACACAGCCCAGAAAUUCUGGCAUACAAAUCAGAAAAGAACUACUUCUUAGCCACCUGUGCCAGAUCCUGCACUUGAUGGAUCAGCUGACACCACCCAGACCAUAAUCUGGCUCAACCAGUUCUGCAACUCCACCCAGGAACAGAAGACAGCAAGAAAAACUCACUUCGACCCCCUAUGAUUCCAUUUCCAACCUGACCAAUCAGUGCUCCCCACUUUCCAAGCCCCUACCCACCAAAUUAUCUUUAAAAACUCUGAUCCCUGAAUGCUUG
rnacentral:lncRNA from 1 species